rnacentral:rRNA from 1 species
GACGAACGCUGGCGGCGUGCUUAACACAUGCAAGUCGAACGGUAAGGCCCUUCGGGGUACACGAGUGGCGAACGGGUGAGUAACACGUGGGUGAUCUGCCCUGCACUUCGGGAUAAGCCUGGGAAACUGGGUCUAAUACCGGAUAUGACUACUGCCUGCAGGGGGGGUGGUGGUAAGGUUUUGCGGUGUGGGAUGGGCCCGUGGCCUAUCCGCUUGUUGGUGGGGUGAUGGCCUACCAAGGCGACGACGGGUAGCCGGCCUGAGAGGGUGACCGGCCACACUGGGACUGAGAUACGGCCCAGACUCCUACGGGAGGCAGCAGAGGGGAAUAUUGCACAAUGGGCGCAAGCCUGAUGCAGCGACGCCGCGUGAGGGAUGACGGCCUUCGGGUUGUAAACCUCUUUCAGCACCGACGAAGCGCAAGUGACGGUAGGUGCAGAAGAAGGACCGGCCAACUACGUGCCAGCCGCCGCAGUAACAC